UCUGGGACUUUGCUCAUGCUUGACAUUCUUCUCAGAACUCUGAAGAUAUGUACUAGACUACAAUUUUUAUUUGAAAGUCAUCUGAACAGUUUUGCAAGGUUUCAUCAUCUUGUAUUGUCUGACUGUUGGAAUACACCCACUGAAGUACGAAUCUCCCACAUUUUUUACCUGGAAAAAAUUCUGCACAACCAUUGUAAGGCCUUUUUCCCAAGGCGGCAAAAUCUUAAGCCCAGGAAAGGAAAGCAAGAUUCAUUUCCUUCAAGUGAGGAGCUCUCUGACUUCGAGCUAUCCUUAUGUGUGCUCAUCCAUGUGAGAAGAAGAGGUGAUCUACAGGGACUAUUCAAGUGAGGAGCUCCAGAUAUUUGAACCAAGACCUUCCUAAUUAUUGUCUAAUAGAUAGAUCGUGAAAUCACCCAUCAUAAGUAGCUGGAAUUGUUGACCGUUAAUUCAGAGCUAAUAUUUUGAAGCAUGAGGUUUUGCAAGCUGAGCCAUAUUUCUUGCAGAAUUCAGAGGGAACUCACAGAGGCUGCUGUAAAAGAAGAGUACUGCAGUUUCUGUGCUGGAGUGGUUGGAAUGGAGAGCACAUGCAUUGUGCAUGUGUACACAUGCAUGCGUGUGCAUAUGUGUGUAUAGCCACAAGCACGACUGCCCACAGUUCAUGAUGAAGGAAAUCGGUCCAUAUACUUUCUGAAUCCAACAUAUGAAGAUCAUUGCUGUUCAAACUUGGCCCUGACCUUGAGAUACGAGACCUUCCUGUGGGUUGCUGAAGGAGACCCAUAUCGAUGGCAG
rnacentral:lncRNA from 1 species